AGAGUUUGAUCAUGGCUCAGGACGAACGCUGGCGGCGUGCUUAACACAUGCAAGUCGAACGGUAAGGCCCUUCGGGGUACACGAGUGGCGAACGGGUGAGUAACACGUGGGUGAUCUGCCCUGCACUUCGGGAUAAGCCUGGGAAACUGGGUCUAAUACCGGAUAGGACCAUGGACUUCACGGUUUGUGGUGGAAAGCUUUUGCGGUGUGGGAUGGGCCCGCGGCCUAUCAGCUUGUUGGUGGGGUAAUGGCCUACCAAGGCGACGACGGGUAGCCGGCCUGAGAGGGUGUCCGGCCACACUGGGACUGAGAUACGGCCCAGACUCCUACGGGAGGCAGCAGUGGGGAAUAUUGCACAAUGGGCGCAAGCCUGAUGCAGCGACGCCGCGUGAGGGAUGACGGCCUUCGGGUUGUAAACCUCUUUCAAUAGGGACGAAGCGCAAGUGACGGUACCUAUAGAAGAAGCACCGGCCAACUACGUG
rnacentral:rRNA from 1 species